GGACAUACCCGGCAGGGGAGAUACCAUGAUCAUGAAGGUGGUUUUCCCAGGGUGAGGCUCAUCCAUUGCACUAGACAUUGCUCAUAUUUUCAAUGUGGCAAGCCACAGAGGAAGGCUGGUUGAAAAGUGAAUUUCUUUUUUAAAGAGCAGAUUCAUCUAAAAUUCUUA
rnacentral:snRNA from 1 species